rnacentral:tRNA from 1 species
GUCUAUGUAGUAUAUCAAUUAUUCUGGUCUUGUAAGCCAGAGAAGAGGAGAAAAAAUCCUCCAAAGACU